rnacentral:rRNA from 1 species
CCAGAUCUCAGAUCAAGUAAGAUUACGCGCCUGACUUCAGCAUAUAAUUGAGC